GCCCCUGUAGCUCAGGUGGAUAGAGCACCAGCCUCCGAAGCUGGGAGCGAGCGUUCGAGUCGCUCCAGGGGCA
rnacentral:tRNA from 1 species